UGCCUGGAGGACGAGUGGUUAGGCCUCAGUGCUCUCACCGCCGCGGCCCAGGUUUGAUUCCUGGCCAGGGAA
rnacentral:tRNA from 1 species